rnacentral:rRNA from 1 species
CAGCCGCCACGGGAAUACGGAGGGUGCAAGCGUUAAUCGGAAUUACUGGGCGUAAAGCGCACGCAGGCGGUCUGUCAAGUCGGAUGUGAAAUCCCCGGGCUCAACCCGGGAACUGCAUUCGAAACUGGCAGGCUAGAGUCUUGUAGAGGGGGGUAGAAUUCCAGGUGUAGCGGUGAAAUGCGUAGAGAUCUGGAGGAAUACCGGUGGCGAAGGCGGCCCCCUGGACAAAGACUGACGCUCAGGUGCGAAAGCGUGGGGAGCAAACAGGAUUAGAUACCCGGGUAGUCCCUGUCUCUUAUAC